rnacentral:rRNA from 1 species
AUUGAACGCUGGCGGCAUGCCUUACACAUGCAAGUCGAACGGUAACAGGUCUUCGGAUGCUGACGAGUAGCGAACGGGUGAGUAAUACAUCGGAACGUGCCUAGUAGUGGGGGAUAACUACUCGAAGGAGUGGCUAAUACCGCAUGAGAUCUACGGAUGAAAGCAGGGGAUCGCAAGACCUUGUGCUACUAGAGCGGCCGAUGGCAGAUUAGGUAGUUGGUGGGAUAAAAGCUUACCAAGCCGACGAUCUGUAGCUGGUCUGAGAGGACGAUCAGCCACACUGGGACUGAGACACGGCCCAGACUCCUACGGGAGGCAGCAGUGGGGAAUUUUGGACAAUGGGCGCAAGCCUGAUCCAGCAAUGCCGCGUGCAGGAUGAAGGCCUUCGGGUUGUAAACUGCUUUUGUACGGAACGAAAAGCCCCGGGUUAAUACCCUGGGGUCAUGACGGUACCGUAAGAAUAAGCACCGGCUAACUACGUGCCAGCCGCCGCGGUAA